AUUGAACGCUGGCGGCAGGCUUAACACAUGCAAGUCGAGCGGGGUGAUGGUGCUUGCACUAUCGCUUAGCGGCGGACGGGUGAGUAAUGCUUAGGAAUCUGCCUAUUAGUGGGGGACAACAUUUCGAAAGGAAUGCUAAUACCGCAUACGUCCUACGGGAGAAAGCAGGGGAUCUUCGGACCUUGCGCUAAUAGAUGAGCCUAAGUCGGAUUAGCUAGUUGGUGGGGUAAAGGCCUACCAAGGCGACGAUCUGUAGCGGGUCGGAGAGGAUGAUCCGCCACACUGGGACUGAGACACGGCCCAGACUCCUACGGGAGGCAGCAGUGGGGAAUAUUGGACAAUGGGCGGAAGCCUGAUCCAGCCAUGCCGCGUGUGUGAAGAAGGCCUUAUGGUUGUAAAGCACUUUAAGCGAGGAGGAGGCUACUUUAGUUAAUACCUAGAGAUAGUGGACGUUACUCGCAGAAUAAGCACCGGCUAACUCUGUGCCAGCAGCCGCCGUAAAAC
rnacentral:rRNA from 1 species